UACGUAGGAGGCAAGCGUUAUCCGGAAUGACUGGGCGUAAAGGGUGCGUAGGUGGUUUAACAAGUUAGUAGCGUAACCCCGGGGCUCAACCUCGGAACUACUACUAAAACUGUCGGACUUGAGUGCAGGAGGGGCAAUUGGAAUUCCUAGUGUAGCGGUGGAAUGCGUAGAUAUUAGGAGGAACACCAGUGGCGAAGGCGAAUUGCUGGACUGUUACUGACACUGAGGCACGAAAGCGUGGGGAGCAAACAGG
rnacentral:rRNA from 1 species